UCGAGUGGCGAACGGGUGAGUAACACGUGAGUAACCUGCCCUUGACUUUGGGAUAACUUCAGGAAACUGGGGCUAAUACCGGAUAGGAGCUCCUGCUGCAUGGUGGGGGUUGGAAAGUUUCGGCGGUUGGGGAUGGACUCGCGGCUUAUCAGCUUGUUGGUGGGGUAGUGGCUUACCAAGGCUUUGACGGGUAGCCGGCCUGAGAGGGUGACCGGCCACAUUGGGACUGAGAUACGGCCCAGACUCCUACGGGAGGCAGCAGUGGGGAAUAUUGCACAAUGGGCGGAAGCCUGAUGCAGCAACGCCGCGUGCGGGAUGACGGCCUUCGGGUUGUAAACCGCUUUCGCCUGUGACGAAGCGUGAGUGACGGUAAUGGGUAAAGAAGCACCGGCUAACUACGUGCCAGCAGCCGCGGUGAUACGUAGGGUGCGAGCGUUGUCCGGAUUUAUUGGGCGUAAAGGGCUCGUAGGUGGUUGAUCGCGUCGGAAGUGUAAUCUUGGGGCUUAACCCUGAGCGUGCUUUCGAUACGGGUUGACUUGAGGAAGGUAGGGGAGAAUGGAAUUCCUGGUGGAGCGGUGGAAUGCGCAGAUAUCAGGAGGAACACCAGUGGCGAAGGCGGUUCUCUGGGCCUUUCCUGACGCUGAGGAGCGAAAGCGUGGGGAGCGAACAGGCUUAGAUACCCUGGUAGUCCACGCUGUAAACGGUGGGUACUAGGUGUGGGGUCCAUUCCACGGGUUCCGUGCCGUAGCUAACGCUUUAAGUACCCCGCCUGGGGAGUACGGCCGCAAGGCUAAAACUCAAAGGAAUUCCCUGGUAGUCCACGCUGUAAACGGUGGGUACUAGGUGUGGGGUCCAUUCCACGGGUUCCGUGCCGUAGCUAACGCUUUAAGUACCCCGCCUGGGGAGUACGGCCGCAAGGCUAAAACUCAAAGGAAUUGACGGGGCCCCGCACAAGCGGCGGAGCAUGCGGAUUAAUUCGAUGCAACGCGUAGAACCUUACCUGGGUUUGACAUGGAUCGGGAGCGCUCAGAGAUGGGUGUGCCUCUUUUGGGGUCGGUUCACAGGUGGUGCAUGGCUGUCGUCAGCUCGUGUCGUGAGAUGUUGGGUUAAGUCCCGCAACGAGCGCAACCCUUGUUCACUGUUGCCAGCACGUUAUGGUGGGGACUCAGUGGAGACCGCCGGGGUCAACUCGGAGGAAGGUGGGGAUGACGUCAAGUCAUCAUGCCCCUUAUGUCCAGGGCUUCACGCAUGCUACAAUGGCUGGUACAGAGAGUGGCGAGCCUGUGAGGGUGAGCGAAUCUCGGAAAGCCGGUCUCAGUUCGGAUUGGGGUCUGCAACUCGACCUCAUGAAGUCGGAGUCGCUAGUAAUCGCAGAUCAGCAACGCUGCGGUGAAUACGUUCCCGGGGCUUGUACACACCGCCCGUCAAGUCAUGAAAGUUGGUAACACCCGAAGCCGGUGGCCUAACCGUUGUGGGGGAGCCGUC
rnacentral:rRNA from 1 species